AGUGAACGCUGGCGGUAGGCCUAACACAUGCAAGUCGAACGGCAGCACAGUAAGAGCUUGCUCUUACGGGUGGCGAGUGGCGGACGGGUGAGGAAUACAUCGGAAUCUACUUUUUCGUGGGGGAUAACGUAGGGAAACUUACGCUAAUACCGCAUACGACCUACGGGUGAAAGCAGGGGAUCUUCGGACCUUACGCGAUUGAAUGAGCCGAUGUCGGAUUAGCUAGUUGGCGGGGUAAAGGCCCACCAAGGCGACGAUCCGUAGCUGGUCUGAGAGGAUGAUCAGCCACACUGGAACUGAGACACGGUCCAGACUCCUACGUGAGGCAGCAGUGGGGAAUAUUGGACAAUGGGCGCAAGCCUGAUCCAGCCAUACCGCGUGGGUGAAGAAGGCCUUCGGGUUGUAAAGCCCUUUUGUUGGGAAAGAAAAGCAGCAGGUUAAUACCCCGCUGUUCUGACGGUACCCAAAGAAUAAGCACCGGCUAACUUCGUG
rnacentral:rRNA from 1 species